UGGACAGAUUACUGUAUUCGACUGUAUUCACCGCUUGAAACAGGGGAUUACACUGUUUUUAAACGGAAAGUGUAUCAAUUAACAUAAUAGACUCCU
rnacentral:pre_miRNA from 1 species